rnacentral:tRNA from 1 species
UGGAAUUUUAUUUUAAAUAAAAAUAUAGUUUUUGCUUGACUAGGAUUAUCUUUAAAAUUCCAU